rnacentral:rRNA from 1 species
UCUGGUGACAAUGGCAAGGAGGUCACACCUGUUCCCAUGCCGAACACAGAAGUUAAGCUCCUUAGCGCCGAUGGUAGUCGGACCGACGUUCCGCUAGAGUAGGACGUUGCCAGGC